rnacentral:snoRNA from 1 species
UGAAGCAAUGAUGAAAAUAUCUCAUGAACUAAAGAUUAUGAUUAGUCCAAAUCUGUGCACCUGAGCUCCAAA